rnacentral:misc_RNA from 1 species
AAGUCGUAACAAGGUUUCCGUAGGUGAACCUGCGGAAGGAUCAUUAAAAAAGUUAACUCAUCGUUAUGAGUCUUAACUCAUAUCAACCUUGUGUGCACCUUAAAUUGUAUCUGGCAGUUCUUAGCUUUUAUUAGUUUUUCGGGGGUUCUUAAGGAGUUUAGUUUCGGGGUUAAAGCCUUUGAGAUCUUAAGAUCUUCAGGCAGAUCUCUUAAUCAAAUUGCUUAAGAUCUUUGAAUUCUCUUAAAGACUUCCUGCCAAAAGUUAGACCUUAGAUUAAUUCGUUAAAGUUAUAAGUUAAGCGUUAAAGUUUAAUAAAUAACAACUUUUGACAACGGAUCUCUUGGCUCUC